rnacentral:rRNA from 1 species
UUUAUUAUACAGAAACUUCUGUAGUUUGGCGGCAUUUUUUUUUUAUUAGAGGAACCUGCUAUAUAAUUGAUAUUCCACAAUAAUUUUCACUAUUAUUUAAAUUUUAUAUACCCCCAUUUAAAGAAUUUAUUUUAAAAUUUUAUUCGAAAAAGUUUCUACUUCAAAUUUAGGUAAAGGUGUAGACUAUAUAAUAGAUCAUAGUGGGUUACUUUUAAUUUCAUUAAAGGACAUUAAAUAAAAAUUUUUUGAAAAAAAGGAUUUACUAGUAAUAUUUAAAUAAUAAU